CAGUAGCCGCGGUAAAACGAAGGGUGCAAGCGUUAAUCGGAAUUACUGGGCGUAAAGCGUGCGUAGGCGGUGAGUUAAGUCUGCUGUGAAAUCCCCGGGCUCAACCUGGGAAUGGCAGUGGAUACUGGCUCGCUAGAGUGUGUCAGAGGAUGGUGGAAUUCCCGGUGUAGCGGUGAAAUGCGUAGAGAUCGGGAGGAACAGCAGUGGCGAAGGCGGCCAUCUGGGACAACACUGACGCUGAGGCACGAAAGCGUGGGGAGCAAACAGGAUUAGAUACCCGCGUAGUCCCUGUCUCUUAUAC
rnacentral:rRNA from 1 species